rnacentral:lncRNA from 10 species
UCUUCAGGAACCUCCUUGUGGCUCUGCCAUGGCGGGGAGGGUUGGGGGUAAGAAAUAUAAGACCCAAUUCCCUGUGGAGGCGGGGAUUCGGUGAAACCAAUCCCUUGAAUGUGGGGUGGAACCAACAUGUAACUCAAUUUGCUUUGGCUCUCACUGUGCAUUUGAGCUAAAGCAAGGGAAGCAUUUCCCCUUCCCCUGGCUGAAAGCUCAGCUGACCCCGAGGCUCUUCUGGUCAUGCUUAGAGUGGGCCCUACAUCCAAUGACUGGUGUUCUCAUAAGGAGAGAGAGACAAAGAGUAGACAGACACAAGGGAGAAGGCCGUGUGAAGAUGGAGACAGAGAUUGGAAUGAUACAGCCACAAGCCAAGAAACAUCUGCGGCCGUCAGAAGUUGGAAGAGCAGCCCUGUGGAUCUAAUAUAGUCAUAAGAGACAUUGUGACCUCCUCCCUGCUCUCUUGAACCACUCAUUCUGGGAGAAGUCAGCUGCCAUGUCAUGAAGCUACUCAGGGAGGUCCAUGGAGAGGUCCACAUGGCAAGGAACUGAGGCCUCCUGCCAGUAGCCAGCACCAUCUUGCUGGCCAUGUGAGCGUGCCAUCUUAGAUGCAGAUCAUACGGCCCCAGUCAAGCCUUCAAAUGACUGCAUCCCUACUUGACAUUUUGACUGUAACCUCAUGACAAACCCUAAGCCAGAACACCAGCUAAGCCACUCCCCAAUUCCUCAUCAGGAACACACCCUCUGUCGUUGUUGCCCAAGGUG